AAUGAACGCUGGCGGCGUGCUUAACACAUGCAAGUCGAACGGUAACAGGAGCAGCUUGCUGCUUGCUGACGAGUGGCGCACGGGUGAGUAAUAGAUAGAUAAUGUGCCCCUUAGUCUGGGAUAGCCAUUGGAAACGAUGAUUAAUACUAGAUACGCCUUUUUACCCUAGGGUAAUUUGGGAAAGGUUUUUCGCUAAGGGAUCAGUCUAUCUCCUAUCAGUUAGUUGGUGAGGUAAGAGCUCACCAAGGCAAUGACGGGUAGCGGGUUUGAGAGGAUGAUCCGCCACACUGGAACUGAGACACGGUCCAG
rnacentral:rRNA from 1 species